rnacentral:sRNA from 1 species
GUCUGCACUUGUCGGGGAAGGGUGAGAACCUUCGAUUAAGGUUCGACUCGAGCGAAAGCGAGAGAACGUUGCCAACGGCAACGGCCCGUAGGGUGAGGAGCGAAGCGACGAAUAAUCCUUCCCCCGCCACCA